CCAACAUCGAGGUCGCAAACUCUUUUUUUUAUUUGAACUAAAAAAAAAAAUUACGCUGUUAUCCCUAAGGUAAUUUUUUCUUAUAAUCAAUAAAAUUGGAUCAUUUAUUCAAUUAUAAUUGGUUUUUAAAAAAAAAAGUUAUUUUAAUUUUUCUGUCACCCCAACAAAAUAAUUAAUUUAAUUUUAAUUGAUUUAUUUAUAAAUAAUUUCAAUAAAAUUAAUUAUAAAACUCUAUAGGGUCUUCUCGUCUUUUUAAUUUAUUUUAUCUUUUUAAAUAAAAAAUUAAAUUCUACAAUUUAAUUAAGAGACAGUUUAUAUUUCAUCCAAUCUUUCAUACAAGUCAUCAAUUAAAUGACUAAUGAUUAUGCUACCUUUGUACAGUCAAAAUACUGC
rnacentral:rRNA from 1 species